ACACAUGCAGUCGAGCGGAUGACAGGAGCUUGCUCCUGAAUUCAGCGGCGGACGGGUGAGUAAUGCCUAGGAAUCUGCCUGGUAGUGGGGGACAACGUUUCGAAAGGAACGCUAAUACCGCAUACGUCCUACGGGAGAAAGCAGGGGACCUUCGGGCCUUGCGCUAUCAGAUGAGCCUAGGUCGGAUUAGCUAGUUGGUGAGGUAAUGGCUCACCAAGGCGACGAUCCGUAACUGGUCUGAGAGGAUGAUCAGUCACACUGGAACUGAGACACGGUCCAGACUCCUACGGGAGGCAGCAGUGGGGAAUAUUGGACAAUGGGCGAAAGCCUGAUCCAGCCAUGCCGCGUGUGUGAAGAAGGUCUUCGGAUUGUAAAGCACUUUAAGUUGGGAGGAAGGGCAUUAACCUAAUACGUUAGUGUUUUGACGUUACCGACAGAAUAAGCACCGGCUAACUCUGUGCCAGCAGCCGCGGUAAUACAGAGGGUGCAAGCGUUAAUCGGAAUUACUGGGCGUAAAGCGCGCGUAGGUGGUUUGUUAAGUUGGAUGUGAAAUCCCCGGGCUCAACCUGGGAACUGCAUUCAAAACUGACAAGCUAGAGUAUGGUAGAGGGUGGGUGGAAUUUCCUGUGUAGCGGUGAAAUGCGUAGAUAUAGGAAGGAACACCAGUGGCGAAAGCGACCACCUGGACUGAUACUGACACUGAGGUGCGAAAGCGUGGGGAGCAAACAGGA
rnacentral:rRNA from 1 species